GUCUCCACUUUACGUCUCCACUUUACGCCAUAAUCGACCGGACUUUACUCCGAGUGCUUCGACCCCAAAUUACCGAACUCAAUCCUCUUGUGCUCCAGUAUCCUCUGUCGUGCAAGGAGAUCCUCUCACUCAUCUUGUCUGGUUUGUCUUGCGCUGUCUGCUCCUUCAAUAGCUAGAGAGCAUUAAAGUGAGCAAGCACUUGCUAGAUAAUCUUGAAUUUAUGCCAUGGAUGUGGAGAUACUGUAAUUCUAUUAGGGGGUAGCCAUCACAAUUACAUCCCAAAUGAAAGAAGAGUGUCUUGCAAAUGUGGGAAAGAUGUAAACUAGAUGCCAAGAAAUCAUUUCCAACACAAUGAAGCUUUAAUACCCCGAAAGAUGUGAUCCACCUUUUGCACACUCAACAGCUCCACCUAUCAAGACCUCUAAACCCUCUUCAGCCCCAAGUGUCUCCAUAUAUGAUCAACACAUACCAUGGUCACAGUCAUAUAAACGUUAAUCCAAAUUAUCCAACACUUGCAAGCUCACAUAGUUACAUUCUAUCAUUAUGCAUUAUGAAGAUCAUAGAGUUAACGAUAACAAUAUUCUUGAUGCGAUACAGAGGAACUUGUACGCUGCUGAAAAGGAUGCAUCAAUACUUAUCUAUCUAGUUUUUACUAUGUUGGAUUGUAUCUUAGUAAGCAAAACCAUAAAACUAUCUUCUUUAUUUUGUUGAUUAGUUUUUUUAUUAUAUACAAUGUAUCUUAGUUGGUAAAACUAUAAAACUAUCUCCUUUCUCCUUUUGUUGCCUAAUGGAUGUC